rnacentral:rRNA from 1 species
CGGACGGGUGAGUAACGCGUGGGUAACCUGCCUCAUACAGGGGGAUAACAGUUAGAAAUGACUGCUAAUACCGCAUAAGCGCACGGUUUCGCAUGGAACAGUGUGAAAAACUCCGGUGGUAUGAGAUGGACCCGCGUCUGAUUAGCUGGUUGGCGGGGUAACGGCCCACCAAGGCGACGAUCAGUAGCCGGCCUGAGAGGGUGAACGGCCACAUUGGGACUGAGACACGGCCCAAACUCCUACGGAAGGCAGCAG